GGAUAAAUUCAGAGUUUGGGAUUAAAAUAUACACAUUAUUGUAUAUAAAAUAGAUAACCAACUGCUGCUGCUGCUAAGUCGCUUCAGUCGUGUCCAACUCUGUGCGACCCUAGAGACAGCAGCCCACUAGGCUCCCCCGUCCCUGGGAUUCUCCAGGCAAGAACACUCGAGUGGGUUGCCAUUUCCUUCUUCAAUGCAUGAAAGUGAAAAGUGAAAGUGAAGUCAGUCAUGUCCGACUCUUCGAGACCCCAUGGACUGCAGCCUACCAGGCUCCUCCAUCAAUGGGAUUUUCCAGGCAAGAGUACUGCAGUGGGUUGCCACUGCCUUCUCCAAGAUAACCAACAAGGACCUACUAUAUAACAGAGGGAACUAUAUUCAAUAUCUUGAGAUAACCUAUAAUGGAAGAGAAAAAAAGAAUAUAUAUAUGUAUUUAUUUAUUGUGGUUGUUUGGUCACUGAGUCCUGUCUGACUUUUUUCAGACCCUAAGGAUUAUAGCUUGCCACUCUUCUCUGUCCAUGGGAUUUCCCAGGCAAGAAUACUGGAGUAGGUUGUCAUUUCCUAUCCAGGGGGUCUUCCUGACCCAGGGGUGGAACCCAUGCCUCCUGCAUUAGCAGACAGGUUUUUUACCACUGAGCCACCAGGGAAGUGCAUGUGUAUGUGUGUGUGUGUAUAUACACACACACACACACACAUAUCCAAAUCACUGGAAAAGACCCUGAUGCUGGGAAAGAUUGAGGGCAGGAGGAGAAGAUGAGAUGGUUGGAUGGCAUCACCGACUCAAUGGACAGGAGUCUGAGCAAACUCUGGGAGAGUGAAGGACAUGGAAGCCUGGUGUGCUGCAGUCCAUGGGGCCACAAAGAGUCAGCCAUGAUUUAGCCACUGAAUAACAACGUGUUAAUCACUAAUGUUCAUCGUCAGCAGGUGUGGAAGCAAGCCAACCAAAAGGGCCAGAGUCACACAACUGGUCAGAGGUGGAACCCAAGCUUGAACAUGUCUGUGAUUCCAACUCAAG
ensembl:lncRNA